UGGCGCAAUGCAGGUGGGUGAUUUAAAAAUUUCCUGAAAUAUCAUCUCUUCAUUUUGUAUUGAAAUUGAGAAAUUGAGAAAAGAAAUUUCAGCUAGACUUCCGAUUUGCACUUCAAGGGAGCCAAGAAAUCAACAGAAAUUUACAGGUCACAGUUGACAGGUUAACCUUUGACCCUCGAGGUGUGAGCGUGUAAUGCCAGCAGCCUAAUUCGAUGAACCCCUUGCUGAUCUAAUGGAAAACUUUGUAUAUUAUGAUUUCUGCGGCGCGCCAAGGUGGGACCACUUAAGAGCAGCACCCUCAUGAAGGGCAGUAAUGGCAACAUACUCUCCUCUGAGUCAGAUUGCACUAAUUGCUGGAAGGAACACUUCAGCCUUCACCACCCAUCGGUUCUGCCUGACCCCGAGCUUUAUUAUUCUGCAGAAACUUCAAGCAAUAUGAACCUAGGUUGCCCAAUGACUCAGGUCAUGCUUGUGGAAGUCAAAGCUGCAGUGGCCUAUUUGAGAAACAAACCUCCAGGUAUCUUCAACCUCACUGUGGAACUGUUAAAAACCAAUGACGACUGCUUGAUUGAGUGGCUCACUCUGAUCAUCAACCGCAUCUGGCGUCCACAAGCAACUUCCUGACGACCGGCCGUGAGGAGUCAUUCUUCUUUUCUAGAAGCCCAAAGGUGUUCAGCCGAUUUAUAAUAAUCACAGGGAUAGCACACUGCUCUCUAUCCGUGGAAAACUAUUUACACAGAUUCGUCUUUCCUGUGCCAUUCUAGCGAUCAGAAGUAAGUGACACCCUCAGCAGGCUGGCUUCAUGUUUUACCACAUCUCAGCUCUACAUCUGAUCAUUGAGGAGUUAUCUGUAUAUCACCUUCAUUGAUUUUAAGGCCAUGUUCGACACCGUUGAUUAGUCUUUCCUCGCAAAAAUGCCCAUGACUCCAGACCAUCACUACCUGACUCAGUGGAUUUGACUCCAGAGCUCUGCAAAUGGUUGUGGUACCACAAAUGAAGAUCUCAGGCAGCAAAGCCAGCAGCAACUGGUAUCUUUCCUUUCUGCUCAGCACCGAGUUGGCUGGUUCAGAUACCUCCAAUGGCUCCAUGUACCAGGUGGAUUGACAUCAUCCAAGAAGACCUCAGGGAGCUGAACAUAGUAUUUGAAUAGGGAUGUAAUCAUGACAACAUUCAAAGCUGAAGGAAGCCAUUGCUUUUAUUAUAGGAGAAAAUCAGAGCGAGAGAGGAUCAUGGAGCAAGGAGUGAGCGAUGUGUGGGUAGCAUCACUCUCAAGAAAGCAGAAUCUUAUUAAAAAACAAGCAUAAGAGAAGUUCUAUCUAUCAAGUUCUAGUGAGGACUGGAGUGAUAGCAGCUCUGACAGUGAUGAGGAACAAGAACAAGGGGUGGAGAAAACAGCAGGUGUUUUGAGGUCAUUGCAGCGUGGUUGGUCUCCAGCCUGUGGGUUCAUCGUCUGGCAUCCCUGCUCUGAUAGAAUUGGAGAAAGUCUUGUUGCCCGGUGUAGGUGCAGUAAUGGCUUCUUACGUUAAGGCAAAAAUCUCUCAUCAUGAUGAGAUCAGAUUGAUCAGCUGUGGAAUCUCCAAACUUGAGGAUGCAGACCUGUUACAUUAUGACUAACAGCAGAUAUCAUCAUAUGGAAGUUGUGCAUAUGUACAAGAACCAGAUCUACAGCAUGGUUUAGGAGCAAGCCCUUGCCUCCAACAAGGAGAGAAGCAAGAGGGGGAUAAGAUCCUUCUGGACUUGUGAGAGAUGAUUGGCAAGGAGGAGAGGAAGACACUUACACAGAUGCCAGGUCUUGCCGCUAUCACUGAGGAGGAACAGUUUGCCAGAUUGCAUGCAACAUCCUCAUUGGAAUCUCAAGCAGUGAUUCACAAAGGCAAGGAAAGGACUCAGUCUUCUCAGGUUCAGUUCCUUGUGUCUGCCUUCAUGUUGGAGGUCUGUAUGCAGUUGUACAUGUAUAUGUAUUGAUAAACAGUAGAGCGCUACUGUAACAGACAUGAUGGAGAUGCUCACAAAAUGUUAAAUAUAUACUGGCAUUCCAAAAAGCGAUUUUUAGUCCCUGAUGCACCUGUUCCUAGCCAAUUCAUACCUGUGGUAAUCUUUCUCAAAAGGAUAAAUGAGGAUUUGGGGGCCAGUAUUUCAAACUUGCACGCAACAAUUUUAGUUAAAAAGAAAGAACACAAAAAAGUUGCCCUUGUGAGCAUGCACAGGGAAGUUGGUCUGCAUGAGCAUCUGAUCAUAUAUGUACGUGUACCCACACAGGAUACAGACCACGACGCAUGUUGGCCGUUGUUCCUUCAUGAGUAAAAUUUCCGUCCACUUUUUAAGUUAUCAUCAUCAUCAGCCCUAAAUAAAUUUGUUUUACUGAGAAUGCACUUUUAAUGCUUGGUAAAAAUGUACAGAAAAUUUGGGAACGUUUAACUCCAAAUUUUGUGAAAAAAUGGAUUUCAUUCUGCUCCUCGAAUCGUACUCAAAGAUCAUUCCAGGCAAAUUUCAUUCAAAAUACUGUAUGGAUAUGUAGUAGUUUCAAUUCAAAUAUCUUAUUUUGGCAACUUCCAACUCGUGCUAGCUAAGACAUUAUAUCAGUACACUCAACCCCCCCAAAAAAACAUGUGCAAAAACAUCUCAAAAUUCAUACAUUCUUGGGAUGUGAUUUAAAACUAUGUUGUUUAUGGCCUUUUUAAAGCCUAAUGAUCACAAUUAAGACCCAUAUCAUCCAGUUUUUUAUUACAUAUUCUACCAAGUAGAAAUUGUGAGCAACAAUAUAACAUUUGUGGAAAAUACAAGAAAAACAAAAUAGCAGUUGCCACUGAUUCAGACACCACUUGGUGUUUUUUUGUUAGAACAGGCUCUAGUUGGAAGAGGAAAAUGCCGAGAUAUGAUGGUUUUGCACUGACACAAUUCAUAAGUAAUCGAGAUGCUUAAGUUCAAAAACUGCAUUCAUAAAUUUACACUGUAAAUGUUAGGGUAGACAUAAUACUUUGGAACUAAAUUAUAUGCUUUUAAAAACUGCAAUGGUGCAUUGCACGUCACAUCUCUCCUUUUCUUGUUCAGGCAUCCAGAAUACCAGUACUGUACCCCCCCUGCAUGUUUAAGCCCACUAUAAAGUGCCCAUUCUCAUUUUAACAAGAUUUUUCUUUUCCUCAUUUUUUGGAAAAAGUUCUGUGUGCCGAUGUAUUUUCCAAGUGUAGAUGCUUAGAGCAGUGGAAAAAAAUAUUUUUAGUUAUCACAAAACUAUUUAGUUUAUUUAAAAAAAUUAGAAAUUGUCAGUGAUUGUAUGCAACAAAAUGUCCAUGUGUUAUUACAGCUAUUUGAUUUAUACAUGCUCUUGCAUUUGAAAUAAAUGUUAAUUUAAGUCAACAGAA